ensembl:lncRNA
ACGGGAUUGAGUGUUGUAUGCGCGGCAGUUUUAUUUGUGGUAGGAAAAAAACCCAAAAAGCAGAAUAACCACCGAGGCUGUUGAACAGUUUUAAAAAUGCCUGUCAAAAGAGCCCUGCGUAUGGAAAAUUCCCAGCAUCACACACCUUCCAAAAUCCCAGUACUUGACAGAAACUACUCUCCCUUAACUGGCACUGCAAGUCUUCAGACAGCAGGCCUUUCCAAACCCACCACACAUGGACACAAGGUUCUGCAGACAGAUAAAGAAAUACUGGAUUCCCUGAGAACUCGGCUGGAACAAUCAGUGGAUGCAUUCAUCAAGGCCAGGAAAGAGCUGGAGGAAAUAGUCUCAGCAGAGGGCAGCAGCAAACUGGGGAGUUUCUCCUCUGGAAGCUCAGCUGACUUGAGGACUGAACUGAACAGACACAGAGAGCUCACUUCAAGAGUAGAGUCCUCUUUGACAGGAAAUGAUGCUUGCCAGACCUCCUCUCAAGGUGGCACAAGGACAAAUAGCUCUUAUGAGUUCCUGAAGUCCAUUAUGGGCUGAGCCACUGAGGUUUUUGUUAGCGAGGUAUCUCGGCUGUUGACAGCUAAUGGAAUUGCUCUUCCCCUUCUUGUGUAGCAAUGUGCAUAUGAUCCCAGGGAGAUAAGACAGGAGAUGAAUGUGGAAUCUGUGCUGUCAGUUGUGAGGCAGAGAUGUCUUGGAAGCCGUCAUUCAUUGGAGGGAGACGUGUCAGCAACAGCAGGAGUGAAGCCUCGGACACGUUUACAUUGGGCCCCCGUCUACCUGGUGGAGCCUCUGCCUCGCGGCUGACAAAUGUUGAUUCUACAAUAACCACCAUGCUGCAGCGCUGUGAAAAUAAUGUCCUUUCAGAAGCCAACCCUCAUCCCCUUUACAGCUCAAACUAUGCAAUCCUCCCCACCUGAGCAGUUUCACACCUUUGGAAGCUAAGGAAGCAAGAGGGGCUGUGAAAGAUGGAGGCAAGCAUGCCUGUACACACACACACACACACACACACGACACAGUAGUCUCUUUAUUUGGCAGUGCCUGGGAAGGCCAAGGCCUCUUGCUGCCUGAGUCGACCUAAGCAACAGCUGGUGUUCACAGCAACAUUUCCUAUUUCUGCCUAAGGUGGAUCGUGUAACUCUCACUUUAUCACCCUUAGAGGCCACGUGAAGGACAAAGCCAGCAUGGCCAUAAACAAAACUAAUGUUUUGAUAUAGGCCUCUUGGAAGACUGGGAGAAGGGCCCUUGGUGUUCCUAUUGCUCCUUAGUGCUGCUGCUGCACCUCUUUCACCUCUAGCACACCAUCACCUACUACAGAGCGGUGGUUCUUAAAAAACUAUGGGUCACGGUCCAAAGCUGGUGGCAGUGCUUAGUCUGUUAGAUCCCCACGUGAUAAGAAUAAUGUGUUUAAUGAAGCAGGGUUCAUGAGUGUAGCUUUCUUUAUGGUCCCAGGCGGAAACAAUAAAAGAACUCCUGACUGGUGCAGACCACUUCUUUUAGCCUUAACGCUUACAAACUCUUAAGAGGUUAUCUGUUCACUUGCCUCAAAGCAUGCAAAGGCCCAGAGUCACAGCAACUGGAAGCUAAGUCUCUGAUAACGUGUUAGUGGCUUGGUGAUGAAAGAGUCCUUAUUUUCAGUGUGGCUUGGGGAAAAAAAGGAAAGGGUUUGCUGUGAGACCUGUGGAACAAAUGGUAAUUUUUUACCCUUUUUAACACCAAACGUGAUUCUUUAAUCCUAACCCAAAGGCUGACAUUUCUGAAUGUGACUUUUAUAUGCAAUUUUCCUAUCUUAAACCCUCAUCAGUCUCAAAGAAUUUGAAACUGGACCAGAAAGGGGUCCCGCUUGCUUCCCCCAUUAUUAGCAUUUAGUAUUACCUAUUGUUCCAACCAAGACAUAUAUGUAAUUUUCAUUAAUUACUCCAAACAUCAUAACAACUUGCAUUGUUUUCAUACGGUUAAUAAUUCUUUCGAUGUUUAUUUUAGUUCAUAUUGUAUAAUAAUUCAUUGUUUAUCUGUGUCGCAUUACUGAAAUUUCAGAAGAGGGCAUGUAAUUUCUGGCUUUCUCUCACAUUUUGCCAGCAGAAAUGGUUUAAUGUUAUAUCAACAGCUAUAUUAAGGGGGGGUGGAGGUGGGGGCUAGCACCUUUCAUGCCCAGUUUAAUCGGACCCUUGUGUUUAUGUCCCGGUGCAGUAAUUGUAAGCCUCAGAUCUUGGCUUCCCUCCCUCUGGCCCAUUAUUGGUUACAGGCACGGCCUAGACCACAGAUGCACAGGCAGCCCUCGCUGACCUGAUAACAUUUAUAGAUGUAAUGGAUUUUUUUUAAUGCCCGUCAUUAACUCACAGAGAGAGUGAGGAGAGAGAUUGCUUGUACCUUUUUUCUGUGGUAUUUCAACUUUAUGGCAUUAUGUUCAGAUAUGUCACCUUCCAUCAUUUCUUUUUAAGGCCUGUCCCGUCACUGGUUUUGUUUUAAAUGUACAGGUCUUUUGUGCCGAACCCCUGUACUAUCCAGGAGUUGUAAUGAAUAUUUAAUGAUGUUGAGUAAAAGCUAUGAAAGAUGUAGUUUGUGUCCAAUUAUUGCCU